AAUACUUAGGUGCUGGGAGACAUAAAGUUUUUCGGUGCCGUCGCAAACGCAUUAAGUAUUCCACCUGGGGAGUACGUUCGCAAGAAUGAAACUCAAAGGAAUUGACGGGGACCCGCACAAGCGGUGGAGCAUGUGGUUUAAUUCGACGCAACGCGAAGAACCUUACCCGGUCUUGAGAUCCUCCUGAAUACGGGGUAAUGCCUGUAGUCCUUCGGGACAGGAGAGACAGGUGGUGCAUGGCUGUCGUCAG
rnacentral:rRNA from 1 species